rnacentral:tRNA from 1 species
GAGGUUGUGGCUCAAUGGUAGACCACUUGCCUCGCAAAUGCAAGACCCUGGGUUCAAUCCUCAGCACCACA